ACGGAAGGCAGCAGUGAGGAAUAUUGGUCAAUGGUCGGAAGACUGAACCAGCCAAGUCGCGUGCAGGAAGACGGUCCUAUGGAUUGUAAACUGCUUUUGUACGGGAAUAACGUGAGGGUCGUGUCCCUUUUGGAAUGUCUCGUAAGAAUAAGGGUCGGCUAACUCCGUGCCAGCAGCCGCGGUACUACGGAGGACCCGAGCGUUAUCCGGCUUUAUUGGGUUUAAAGGGUGCGCAGGCGGAGGAUUAAGUCAGCGGUGAAGUUUUCAUGCUAAACAUGAAAACUGCCAUUGAUACUGGUCCCCUUGAGAGAUGUCGAGGAUGGCGGAAUGUGAUGUGUAGCGGUGAAAUGCUUAGAUAUGUCACAGAACACCGAUUGCGAAGGCAGCUGUCCAGAGAUCUUCUGACGCUCAGGCACGAAAGCAUGGGUAUCAAACAGGAUUAGAUACCCUGGUA
rnacentral:rRNA from 1 species